UACGAAGGGAGCUAGCGUUGUUCGGAAUCACUGGGCGUAAAGCGCACGUAGGCGGAUGUGUCAGUCAGGGGUGAAAUCCCGGAGCUCAACUUCGGAACUGCCUUUGAUACAGCACAUCUGGAGUCCGGAAGAGGUGGGUGGAAUUCCUAGUGUAGAGGUGAAAUUCGUAGAUAUUAGGAAGAACACCGGUGGCGAAGGCGGCCCACUGGUCCGGUACUGACGCUGAGGUGCGAAAGCUGGGGGAGCGAACGGG
rnacentral:rRNA from 1 species